GUCCACCACUGCCACGGCGGACAGGAACUCAGAUACACAGACAACCAAAUACACAAAUGUCUAGGCUAGAUCCUGGGGACAGGUCACCUCCAAGCACAUCCCUGACUUCUCUCCCUAUGCUGCUAAGCCCACAUUCAGACCUUGAUGGUAGGUAUGAAGUAUCCUCGUGCCUGGACUGCAAAACACCCUAGAAUCCCUGAGAUGGUGAAAGGGGAGAAGGGGCAGAAGACACACAAAUAGCCUAGACCGCAAACCACACAAACAGAAACGAAACUUAUCUGAGCUGGAACAGACAAUCCUUCCUUCCUUCCUGAAUCCAAGACCAGAAUGAAUUGUAUAACCCGCACAGCCCUCUGGGAUUGAAGGCA